GCACUAUCCGAGCGCCGGCCCCGCUAUGUUCCAUGAAGGGCCGGUGGGGAGAUCAAAGAUCUCCCUCACCGGCCCACAUGCGCUCAAACGCGGCCUCCAGCUGGGAGAGAGGGAGGGAGACAGCCGCCAGGAGAGAGGACCCGGCGGAGCUCUUACUUAGAGCACCGCCGGGUUCCUCUCGCGAGAUCCGGACCGUUGCUAUGGCAACCGGCCGGGUCACGCGAGAGUGAACUCUAGC